rnacentral:rRNA from 1 species
UACGAAGGGGGGCUAGCGUUGCUCGGAAUUACUGGGCGUAAAAGCGCACGUAGGCGGUCUUUUAAGUCGGGGGUGAAAUCCUGGAGCUCAACUCCAGAACUGCCUUCGAUACUGGCGAUCUUGAGUCCGGAAGAGGUGAGUGGAACUCCUAGUGUAGAGGUGGAAUUCGUAGAUAUUAGGAAGAACACCAGUGGCGAAGGCGGCUCACUGGUCCGGUACUGACGCUGAGGUGCGAAAGCGUGGGGAGCAAACAGG